AGAGUUUGAUCAUGGCUCAGAAUCAACGCUGGCGGCGCGCUUAACACAUGCAAGUCGAACGAGAAAGUGGAGCAAUCCAUGAGUACAGUGGCGUACGGGUGAGUAACACGUGGGUAAUCUGCCUUUUAGUGAGGAAUAACGAUGGGAAACCGUCGCUAAUACCGCAUAAGCCCGAGAGGGGAAAGUCGCAAGACGCUGAAAGAGGAGCCCGCGGCCGAUUAGCUAGUUGGUGGGGUAAGAGCCUACCAAGGCAGAGAUCGGUAGCCGGCCUGAGAGGGCACACGGCCACACUGGCACUGAAACACGGGCCAGACUCCUACGGGAGGCAGCAGUGGGGAAUCUUGCACAAUGGGGGCAACCCUGAUGCAGCGACGCCGCGUGAGCGAUGAAGCCCUUCGGGGUGUAAAGCUCUUUCGGCAGGGAAGAUUAUGACGGUACCUGCAGAAGCAGCUGCGGCUAACUACGUGCCAGCAGCCGCGGUAAUACGUAGGCAGCGAGCGUUGUUCGGAGUUACUGGGCGUAAAGGGUGUGUAGGCGGUUCUUUAAGUUUGGUGUGAAAUCUCCCGGCUCAACCGGGAGGGUGCGCCGAAUACUGAGGGACUAGAGUGUGGGAGAGGAAAGUGGAAUUCCUGGUGUAGCGGUGAAAUGCGUAGAUAUCAGGAGGAACACCGGUGGUGUAGACGGCUUUCUGGACCAUAACUGACGCUGAGACACGAAAGCGUGGGUAGCAAACAGGAUUAGAUACCCUAGUAGUCC
rnacentral:rRNA from 1 species